GUCUACAGCCAUGCCACCCUGAACUAGCUCAAUCCCAUCUGAUCUCAGAAGCUAAGCAGGGUUGGGCCUGGUUAGUACUUGGAUAGGAAACCACCUGGAAAGAUCAGGUGCCAUAGGCA
rnacentral:rRNA from 1 species